UGUCCGAGUUGUAAUCUCNUAGAAGUGUUUUCCGCGUUGGACCGCACACAAGUCUGUUGGAAUACAGCGGCACAGUGGUGAGACCCCCGUUCACGGUGCGGAUGCCCAAUGCUUUGUGAUACACUUUCGAAGAGUCGAGUUGUUUGGGAAUGCAGCUCAAAUUGGGUGGUAAAUUCCAUCUAAAGCUAAAUAUUGGCGAGAGACCGAUAGCGAACAAGUACCGUGAGGGAAAGAUGAAAAGCACUUUGGAAAGAGAGUUAACAGUACGUGAAAUUGUUGGAAGGGAAACGCUUGAAGUCAGACUUGCUAUUCGGGGUUUACUCCGAGUUGCAGGCCAGCAUCAGUUUUCUGGGGCGGAAAAUCACGGUUAGAAGGUAGCAGUCGCGGCUGUGUUAUAGCUUUCCGUUGGAUACGUCCUGGGGGACUGAGGAACGCAGCGUGCUUUUUGCAGGAGCUUCGGCUUCAUCACGCU
rnacentral:rRNA from 1 species